UACAGAGGGUGCGAGCGUUGUUCGGAAUUAUUGGGCGUAAAGGGCGCGUAGGCGGUGCCACAAGUCACCUGUGAAAUCCCCGGGCUUAACUCGGGGCCUGCAGGCGAAACUGUGGUGCUAGAGUAUGUAAGAGGGUCGCGGAAUUCCCGGUGUAGAGGUGAAAUUCGUAGAUAUCGGGAGGAACACCGGUGGCGAAGGCGGCGACCUGGGACAAUACUGACGCUGAGGUGCGAAAGCGUGGGGAGCAAACAGG
rnacentral:rRNA from 1 species